rnacentral:rRNA from 1 species
UACGGAGGAUCCAAGCGUUAUCCGGAAUUACUGGGCGUAAAGAGUUGCGUAGGUGGCAUCGUAAGUCUGUAGUGAAAGCGUGGGGCUCAACCCCAUACACAUUAUGGAAACUGCGAAGCUAGAGGACGAGAGAGGUUAUUGGAAUUCCUAGUGUAGGAGUGAAAUCCGUAGAUAUUAGGAGGAACACCGAUGGCGUAGGCAGAUAACUGGCUCGUUCCUGACACUAAGGCACGAAAGCAUGGGUAGCAAACGGG